rnacentral:sRNA from 1 species
AAUGUGGCGCUCCGCGGUUGGUGAGCAUGCUCGGUCCGUCCGAGAAGCCUUAAAACUGCGACGACACAUUCACCUUGAACCAAGGGUUCAAGGGUUACAGCCUGCGGCGGCAUCUCGGAGAUUCC